UCCACAACAGAAUCUAUGACUGUAACUAUACACUAUAUACAACAGAAGGUUUAUAAUACACCAAAAGGUAUAAACCUCUAUCUACAUUAUACUAUACUAUGGAGCGGCACAGCUAGCAGGCAACCACUAAUCCUGCUUCUCUCUAUACAAUACCUGCCCUGCAAUCAAAAACACCAAACUGGGGAGUGAGUAUAUAAAUACUCAGUGAGUGGAGUAGAGUGUACUAUGCAUAUUAGACAGAAUAUAAUCAUGGCUCGAGAUGAAAUCUCAAGAUCAAUAAUAAGAUGAACAUGAACUCAACAUAAAGAAUAUGGAGUAAAUCAUCAAUA
rnacentral:lncRNA from 1 species